UACGACCACCGCUCCUUCCGGGAGCUAGCGCGCGGGGCCUCCGGAGCGUAGGUCAGAGGUUCCUCUCCGCCUGGACUAAUAUCUGCUGAGAGCCUUCCAGGUGCUCAGCCAAGUGCUGUGACGAAAUGAAGGUGAAAUAAGGUGAGCCAACAUGCAGACAUGUUAUAAUCUCAGAGGGGAGAUAAGCCUAAUAACUGAUAUAAAAUAGUGUCAUGGAAGAACUGCAUGAUGCCUUGAGGGCCACAAGGAACAAGUGCCAUCAGGUAGCAAUGCCCAGAGAAGGUUUCAUGGAGGAGGUGAUGUGUGAACCAGGCCUUGGAUAAGUAACAUUAUAAUGGGCAGGUUGAGGGGAUGGAAGAGGACAAGAAACAGGCCAAAAGUAUGGAGUGCCCAUGGAUUGGUCGAUAAGGUGAUGACAAUCAGGGCAGACUUCAAGGUUAUGAGUAAUCAAGGAAGACAAACCAUCUCAAAGGGGUAAAGAAGAGCAGCAAUAGACAGAGCCCUUCUCCCUGCCCUGAAUCCAGGGGAGAGAAAGAGUGGCCUGCCCUAAACAGGGCUUCAAGCUAACUUGUAUUGUGAUAGGAAGCUCUGGUGUCAGCUCGGGCAGGAAAAUGGAAAGUUAGAGAAUGUAGAAUAACUUGUUCACUGUAGAAAAAGCAUCUUAGAGAUCAUGCAGGUGCCAGGCACAGACAUCCACAAAAGCCCACUUAAGAUGAGGGAGGGAUCUAUUGGAAGGAUAUGGGGAUAUCUCACAGAAUACCAUCACAGAAAAUACAGUCAAGCCUCACAGGGACUGGAACAAGGGCCUGGAAAAACAGGAACAAUGUUCGUCUCAUCCUCCCUGGGGCCUCGCCAUGUUUUGUCUCUUGGUCCCUGCAUGUUUCUGGGGCAAGCCCUGUUAUUUGCCUGCCUCCCUUCUUUUUUGCUGCCCUCUACUACAGCUGGAUACAUUGUUACUUUUCCAGCUCUUAAAGCUAAGGUGGUCCUAGGCUAGAUUCUGGCCUUGAGAUAAAGAAAUCUAGGGUUUCUUUUGACCUCUAGGAAAAGUUUUUGCUUUUCUGAUAAAAGGGAGAGAUAGGCCUUGCCCUUUCUUCUGCUCUGAACCCCAGAGUUGUGCUUAGAGUGACAAUAGUGUCUUGUGACCAUGGGAAAACACUUUGAGGUCUAAACGACAGCAGUCUGAGAACAGAAAACCUAGGCUGCUCACCUCUGCCAGCAACCACCUACACCUGGGCUUUCAGAUUGCAUGAGGAAAACAACCCCUCAUGCAUGUGAGCAGUUUGUGCUUGCACCUGAAUGCGUUCCAUCUGACACGCAUUCUCUGCAUGGACAUGUCCAUGGCAGAAAACUACUGCCUCAAGCCCAGUUCUCCAUGACUUCCCAUUUCAGGAAUCCCACCAACUAACUACAGUCUCUUUGUCCCAAGUCCAGAUUCCUGAAUUGAGACUCUAAUGUUCCCAACUUUGGUGAGGUGCCCAAGCCUGGUGCUGUGUUAGAGGACAAAAUCCCACAUUCCACUGAACGUUCAGGAGGAACGAGAGAGGGAACUAGGCGGCAGGACUAUGCGUGAGCAGGACAGGACAGCACAGCACGUUGAAUGAUGUCUGCUCCAAUGAGAAGCAGGUAGGGGAAGAGCUCUGGAAGCUGAAGUGAAAGAUCAAGGUGCAAACAGAUUUGGUGUCUGGCGAGAACUUUCCUCCUGGUUCAGAGGUCACCAUCUUGUCAUCGCUGUGUCCCCACAUGAUGGAAGGAGCAAAGGAACUCUCUGUGUCCUCUUUUAGAAGUGCACUGAUUCCAUUCAUGAAGGCUGUGCUCUUAUAACCACCUACCAAAGGCCCCACCACCUCCUGUGAUACCAUCACCUUGGAAAUGAGGAUUUCAACAUAUGAAUUUGAAGGGACACAAACAUUCACACCAUUGCGAUAGCCAAGCACAUCUUUUGAUUGAUUACAUGGUGUAAAGAUAUACAUGGAUUCCAUUUAAGUCUUGUUUCUAAUGUAGACAACUUGUAAUCACCUUACAUAUCCAUUCAUAAUGUUAAAUAAAUGCUCAAAUUCAGUGGUUUGCUACAUGCAGCCAUUACAAAGAAGAAGAUGGGUCACCGUCUACUGAUGGGGAGAUAGUCAUGUGACACUGGAAGGGAGAAAAGAAGUACAGAGUAAUAUGGAAAGGCCUCACUAACUUAUGUGAAACGUUUGGAUGAAAUGUAUGUUGGAAACCAGAAUCUGUCACAUUCUAGAGACAUUAUGCAAGACUUCCUCCUCAUGUGAAAACAGAUUGAGUAAUUGAGACUCACACUCUCCAUGGGGAUAAUGAUGAGCAAAACAUUUACAACACUUGCAUACCAACACCAGAGAGCCUGAGUGUGGUAAGGAAUUACUGGGCCAGGGAAAACAGAGGCUCAGGGAGGUGAGGCCACUGCUGGGAGCCACUUUUUCCCGACAGCAUCUGCAAGUUCUGGGGAAAGUUGGGAGGCCAUGCCACGUUUCAGACAGCUGGUUCUCAGUUGGUUCAAAGACACACCAGUAAGAGUCCUACUGAGUCAUGUGAGACGGAGCAGUGGUUCACAGCGCUGGCUGGCCCGAUGUGAGUCUGCUUGCGUUGGUUUCCCUCCUUCCCUGUUUCACAACCUCAUUCCUCACACCUGUCCCUGGAAUCACAUUCCUAAGCAAAUCACCUGCACGCAGGCCCUCAUCUCAGUUUCUGCUUCAGGACCAUGGAGAUGAAGGCAGUAAGAGAACUAGAAAAUAGAAUGUGAGAGGUCCCAACAUAUGGGAAGUUAACGAUCUUCAAAAAAGGAGACCAAAUAGGCAAAAACUACAUAUGAACAGAUAAUGAUUGAAAUAUUAAGAUGGACAACAAGCCAUUAAGAUGGACCAAGAAGCCCUACAGAGCCCAAGCAGGACAAAUAAAACAAGUCAACCAAAAAGUAAUACUGCAAAAACUAAAGACUGUUGGUAUUCACAGGUGGAGAAAUUGUGUAUUUACUUGGUUUAAUCCUGUUAUGUAGCAAAAUUCCCAAACAGUGAUGAAGGGAAACCUUACAUAACUCCAGUUAAAGAUCACUAAAACUCAAAUUGGCAUCACCACCCCUCCAAAAGCACUGUCUCCUGGAAAGCUUCCUCUCGGUCUGGAUUUAGGCUUCUCCCCCCUAUCAAAGAUAGAGCUACUCAGAGGUCAACAGUAAGGUGCCUUAAAAAAGCAAUAAAAUAAUAAAACUAAAAUGCCGUUGAUAUUCUUCAAAGCUCUCGCAAGAAGGGACCACACCACCUUUGGUUUGAACUUGGGGGUCAAGAGUGGAGUCAGACCAGCUCCAUCCACACCCCAGCUCUGCCCCGAAGUGAAAUGAGAGGAGGAGAUGGGGUGACCUGCUUAGGGCCUCCUUGCACACUGUGCCCAACAGUAUAAGCAUUGCUGCUGUGCUCCUGACAUUGGGUAU